rnacentral:rRNA from 1 species
CACGGAGAGUUUGAUCCUGGCUCAGGAUGAACGCUGGCGGUAAGCUUAACACAUGCAAGUCGAACGCACCCUUCGGGGUGAGUGGCGGACGGGUGAGUAACACGUGAGUAUCUACCUUCGGGACGGGGAUAACCGCUGGAAACGGCGGCUAAUCCCGGAUAAGCCUACGGGUAAAAGGCAUCGGCAGCGCCGGAAGAGGAGCUCGCGGCUGAUUAGCUAGUUGGUAGGGUAAGUGCCUACCAAGGCAACGAUCAGUAGCUGAUCUGAGAGGAUGGUCAGCCACACUGGGACUGAGACACGGCCCAGACUCCUACGGGAGGCAGCAGUGGGGAAUCUUCCGCAAUGGGCGCCAGCCUGACGGAGCUAUACCGCGUGAGGGAAGAAGGCCCUUGGGUCGUAAACCUCUUUUCUCGGGGAAGAAAGAUGACGGUACCCGAGGAAAAAGCCUCGGCCAACUCCGUGCCAGCAGCCGCGGUAAUACGGAGGAGGCAAGCGUUAUCCGGAAUUAUUGGGCGUAAAGCGUCCGCAGGUGGCUUCUCAAGUCGGCGGUGAAAGGCUGGGGCUUAACCCCAGACCAGCCGUGGAAACUGAGAAGCUAGAGUGCGGUAGGGGUAGAGGGAAUUCCCAGUGUAGCGGUGAAAUGCGCAGAGAUUGGGAAGAACACCGGUGGCGAAAGCGCUCUACUGGACCGCAACUGACACUCAGGGACGAAAGCUAGGGGAGCGAAAGGGAUUAGAUACCCCUGUAGUCCUAGCUGUAAACGAUGGAUACUAGGCGUGGC